CACAGAGUUAGCCGGUGCUUUUUCUUUGGGUUAGGUCAAGACCGAAAGGUAUUAGCCUUCGGCUUUUCAUCCCCACUAAAAGUGCUUUACAACCCGCAGGCCUUCUUCACACACGCGGCGUCGCUGGAUCAGGCUUGCGCCCAUUGUCCAAUAUUCCCCACUGCUGCCUCCCGUAGGAGUCUGGGCCGUGUCUCAGUCCCAGUGUGGCUGGUCGUCCUCUCAGACCAGCUACGGAUCGUCGCCUUGGUAGGCCAUUACCCCACCAACUAGCUAAUCCGACUUAGGCUCAUCUCAUAGCGCGAGGUCUUGCGAUCCCCCGCUUUCAACCGUAGUUCGUAUGCGGUAUUAGCUUGAGUUUCCCCAAGUUAUUCCCCACUACGAGGAAGAUUCCUAAGCAUUACUCACCCGUUCGCCGCUCGUCAGCACGUAUUGCUACGCCUGCUACCGCUCGACUUGCAUGUGUUAAGCACGCCGCCAGCGUUCAAUCUGAGCCAGGAUCAAAC
rnacentral:rRNA from 1 species